rnacentral:rRNA from 1 species
GACGAACGCUGGCGGCGUGCUUAACACCUGCAAGUCGAUCGGAGUGUCGAACGGGUGUGUAACACGUGGGUGACCCGCCCUGCACUUCGGGAUAAGCCUGGGAAACUGGGUCUAAUACCGGAUAGUGUGGGAUGGGCCCGCGGCCUAUCAGCUUGUUGGUGGGGUAAUGGCCUACCAAGGCGGCGACGGGUCGCCGGCCUGAGAGGGUGGACGGCCACAGUGGGACUGAGAGACGGCCCAGACGCCUACGGGAGGCAGCAGUGGGGAAUAUUGCACAAUGGGCGGAAGCAUGAUGCAGCGACGCCGCGUGGGGGAUGACGGCCUUCGGGUUGUAAACUCCAUUCACCAUCGACGCGGUAGAUGGAGAAGAAGCACCGGCUAACUGCGGGCCAGCAGCCGCGGUAAUAC